CCUACGGGUGGCAGCAGUGGGGAAUAUUGCACAAUGGGGGAAACCCUGAUGCAGCGACGCCGCGUGAGUGAAGAAGUAAUUCGUUACGUAAAGCUCUAUCAGCAGGGAAGAAAUACUGACCUUACGGUCAGCAGACGGUACCUGAGUAAGAAGCCCCGGCUAACUACGUGCCAGCAGCCGCGGUAAUACGUAGGGGGCACGCGUUAUCCGGAGUUACUGGGUGUAAAGGGAGCGUAGACGGGGCGCCAAGACUGGAGUGAAAUGCCGCGGCUUAACUGCGGAACUGCUUUGGAAACUGGCGAACUAGAGUGCGGGAAGGGUAAGCGGAAUUCCUGGUGUAGCGGUGAAAUGCGUAGAUAUUAGGAAGAACCCCGGUGGCGAAGGCGGCUUACUGGACCGUAACUGACGUUGAGGCUCGAAAGCGUGGGGAGCAAACAGGAUUAGAUACCCUAGUAGUC
rnacentral:rRNA from 1 species